GAGACUCUGUGCGCGUGCAUAUCAAUAAGCGGAGGAAAAGAAACUAACAAGGAUUCCCUAGUAACGGCGAGUGAAGCGGGAAGAGCUCAAAUUUGAAAUCUUAAAGGGUUCUACCUUGACGAAUUGUAGUUUAUAGAAGUGUUUUCUGUAGUGGAGUUCGGUAAAAGUUCUUUGGAAUAGGACAUCAUAGAGGGUGAGAAUCCCGUAUUUGACCGUUACUUUCCUAGCUGUGUGAUACACUUUCAACGAGUCGGAUUGUUUGGGAAUGCAGUCCAAGAUGGGUGGUAAAUUUCAUCUAAAGCUAAAUAUUGGCGAGAGACCGAUAGCGAACAAGUACCGUGAGGGAAAGAUGAAAAGAACUUCGAAAAGAGAGUUAAACAGUACGUGAAAUUGUCAAAAGGGAAGCGUUUGACACCAGUGUUGUUUUCUCGAAAAUCAAUUAAAAAUGGAUGGAUUUUGUGUUGUAUUGACUUUAUCAGCUUUCUGCACUUUUUUCUUAUCCUUUUUAAUGCACUUUUCGUUUAACAAGUCAACAUCAAUUUCUUUUGUUGUAAAAGAGUCAUUGGAAGGUGGCUUUUUCUUCGGAAAAAGUGUUUAUAGCCUUUGGCUUCUGCAAUCGGAGAGAUUGAGGUCUGCAGCGUAGAUCCUUCGGGGUUAGAUACAUUUGUGCUAAGCUAUAGUUCUUUAUAGACAACUUGUUGACUAUAAUCAAUCCUGUAACUUACUCGCUUAUGCUAUUUUACCUACGCUUAGGAUGUUGAUCUGUAGUGCGUGCGC
rnacentral:rRNA from 1 species